GACGAACGCUGGCGGCGUGCUUAACACAUGCAAGUCGAACGGAAAGGCCCUGCUUUUGUGGGGUGCUCGAGUGGCGAACGGGUGAGUAACACGUGAGUAACCUGCCCUUGACUUUGGGAUAACUUCAGGAAACUGGGGCUAAUACCGGAUAGGAGCUCCUGCUGCAUGGUGGGGGUUGGAAAGUUUCGGCGGUGGGGGAUGGACUCGAGGCUUAUCAGCUUGUUGGUGGGGUAGUGGCUUACCAAGGCUUUGACGGGUAGCCGGACUGAGAGGGUGACCGGCCACAUUGGGACUGAGGUACGGCCCAGACUCCUACGGGAGGCAGCAGUGGGGAAUAGUGCACAAUGGGCGGAAGCCUGAUGCAGCAACGCCGCGUGGGGGAUGACGGCCUUCGGGUUGUAAACCGCUUUCGCCUGUGACGAAGCGUGAGUGACGGUAAUGGGUAAAGAAGCACCGGCUAACUACGUG
rnacentral:rRNA from 1 species